GUUGGGUAGGGGAGCGUUCUGUAAGCCUGCGAAGGUGUACUGUGAGGUAUGCUGGAGGUAUCAGAAGUGCGAAUGCUGACAUAAGUAACGAUAAUGCGGGUGAAAAACCCGCACGCCGGAAGACCAAGGGUUCCUGUCCAACGUUAAUCGGGGCAGGGUGAGUCGACCCCUAAGGCGAGGCUGAAAAGCGUAGUCGAUGGGAAACGGGUUAAUAUUCCCGUACUGGUGGUAACUGCGAUGGGGGAACGGAGAAGGCUAGGUUGUCCGGGCGACGGUCGUCCCGGUUCAAGCAGGUAGGCAGAGUGAUUAGGCAAAUCCGGUCACUUAAUGCUGAGAUGUGAUGACGAACCACCAAGGUGGUGAAGCAAUUGAUGCCCCGCUUCCAGGAAAAGCCUCUAAGCUUCAGGUUACCAACAAUCGUACCCCAAACCGACACAGGUGGUCAGGUAGAGAAUACUCAGGCGCUUGAGAGAACUCGGGUGAAGGAACUAGGCAAAAUGGUGCCGUAACUUCGGGAGAAGGCACGCUGGCGGUAGGUAAAGUCCCUUGCGGACGGCGCUGAAGCCAGUCGAAGAUACCAGCUGGCUGCAACUGUUUAUUAAAAACACAGCACUGUGCAAACACGAAAGUGGACGUAUACGGUGUGACGCCUGCCCGGUGCUGGAAGGUUAAUUGAUGGGGU
rnacentral:rRNA from 1 species